rnacentral:rRNA from 1 species
CAGAGGUCUCAAGCGUUGUUCGGAUUCAUUGGGCGUAAAGGGUGCGUAGGUGGCGGGGCAAGUCUGGUGUGAAAUCCCGGGGCUCAACCCUGGAACUGCACUGGAUACUGCUUUGCUAGAGUACUGGAGAGGGAACUGGAAUUUACGGUGUAGCAGUGAAAUGCGUAGAUAUCGUAAGGAAGACCAGUGGCGAAGGCGAGUUCCUGGACAGUUACUGACACUGAGGCACGAAGGCCAGGGGGAGCAAACGGGAUUAGAUACCCCGGUAGUCCUGGCAGUAAACGGUGCGCGUUUGGUGUAGGAGGAUUCGACCACUUCUGUGCCGGAGCUAACGCGUUAAACGCGCCGCCUGGGGAGUACGGUCGCAAGAUUA